UACGUAGGGUGCGAGCGUUGUCCGGAAUUACUGGGCGUAAAGAGUUCGUAGGCGGUUUGUCGCGUCGUUCGUGAAAACUUGGGGCUUAACUCCAAGCGUGCGGGCGAUACGGGCAGACUUGAGUACUACAGGGGAGACUGGAAUUCCUGGUGUAGCGGUGAAAUGCGCAGAUAUCAGGAGGAACACCGGUGGCGAAGGCGGGUCUCUGGGCCGAUACUGACGCUGAGGAGCGAAAGCAUGGGGAGCGAACAGG
rnacentral:rRNA from 1 species